rnacentral:rRNA from 1 species
AUUGAACGCUGGCGGCAGGCCUAACACAUGCAAGUCGAGCGGAUGAAGGGAGCUUGCUCCUGGAUUCAGCGGCGGACGGGUGAGUAAUGCCUAGGAAUCUGCCUGGUAGCGGGGGAUAACGUCCGGAAACGGGCGCUAAUACCGCAUACGUCCUUAGGGAGAAAGUGGGGGAUCUUCGGACCUCACGCUAUCAGAUGAGCCUAUGUCGGAUUAGCUAGUUGGUGGGGUAAAGGCCUACCAAGGCGACGAUCCGUAACUGGUCUGAGAGGAUGAUCAGUCACACUGGAACUGAGACACGGUCCAGACUCCUACGGGAGGCAGCAGUGGGGAAUAUUGGACAAUGGGCGAAAGCCUGAUCCAGCCAUACCGCGUGUGUGAAGAAGGUCUUCGGAUUGUAAAGCACUUUAGGUUGGGAAGAAGGGCAGUAGGUUAAUACCUUGCUGUUUUGACGUUACCAACAGAAUAAGCACCGGCUAACUUCGUG